CAGUAGCCGCGGUAAUACAGAGGGUGCGAGCGUUAAUCGGAUUUACUGGGCGUAAAGCGUGCGUAGGCGGCUUCUUAAGUCGGAUGUGAAAUCCCUGAGCUUAACUUAGGAAUUGCAUUCGAUACUGGGAGGCUAGAGUAUGGGAGAGGAUGGUAGAAUUCCAGGUGUAGCGGUGAAAUGCGUAGAGAUCUGGAGGAAUACCGAUGGCGAAGGCAGCCAUCUGGCCUAAUACUGACGCUGAGGUACGAAAGCAUGGGGAGCAAACAGGAUUAGAUACCCCUGUAGUCCCUGUCUCUUAUAC
rnacentral:rRNA from 1 species